UACGUAGGGGGCAAGCGUUGUCCGGAAUCAUUGGGCGUAAAGAGCGUGUAGGCGGCUUGGUAAGUCCGCUGUGAAAGUCCAGGGCUCAACCCUGGAAUGCCGGUGGAAACUGUCAGGCUCGAGUCCGGAAGAGGCGAGUGGAAUUCCCGGUGUAGCGGUGAAAUGCGCAGAUAUCAGGAGGAACACCAAUGGCGAAGGCAGCUCGCUGGGACGGUACUGACGCUGAGACGCGAAAGCGUGGGGAGCAAACAGG
rnacentral:rRNA from 1 species